rnacentral:rRNA from 1 species
GACGAACGCUGGCGGCGUGCUUAACACAUGCAAGUCGAACGGAAAGGCCCUGCUUUUGUGGGGUGCUCGAGUGGCGAACGGGUGAGUAACACGUGAGUAACUUGCCCUUGACUUUGGGAUAACUUCAGGAAACUGGGGCUAAUACCGGAUAGGAGCUCCUGCUGCAUGGUGGGGGUUGGAAAGUUUCGGCGGUUGGGGAUGGACUCGCGGCUUAUCAGCUUGUUGGUGGGGUAGUGGCUUACCAAGGCUUUGACGGGUAGCCGGCCUGAGAGGGUGACCGGCCACAUUGGGACUGAGAUACGGCCCAGACUCCUACGGGAGGCAGCAGUGGGGAAUAUUGCACAAUGGACGGAAGCCUGAUGCAGCAACGCCGCGUGCGGGAUGACGGCCUUCGGGUUGUAAACCGCUUUCGCCUGUGACGAAGCGUGAGUGACGGUAAUGGGUAAAGAAGCACCGGCUAACUACGUG